rnacentral:lncRNA from 1 species
AUAUUUAUAUUUAGAACUUUAAAACUUGUACAAUUAUAGUUAGUCACGAAUAAACGGAUAACAACUGUCAUAUUCCUGACUUGGUGCAGGCAUUUUCUUAUGUGGACGGAGUAUUUACUUGCGUUAAAAGCAAUAUUUUUUUUAUCUUUCCUUAAAUAUCUACAUCAAGUGAUUUUUGCUAAAUGUAAUCGCCUCAAGCGAAUAAAGUAUCCGC